GGGGAAUAUUGCACAAUGGGCGCAAGCCUGAUGCAGCGACGCCGCGUGAAGGAUGAAGGUCUUCGGAUUGUAAACUUCUAUCAGCAGGGAAGAAUAAAUGACGGUACCUGACUAAGAAGCACCGGCUAACUACGUGCCAGCAGCCGCGGUAAUACGUAGGGUGCAAGCGUUAUCCGGAAUUACUGGGUGUAAAGGGUGCGUAGGCGGCUAUUUAAGUCAGAUGUGAAAACUCAGGGCUCAACCUUGAGGCUGCAUCUGAAACUGAGUAGCUAGAGUGUGGGAGAGGAAAGUGGAAUUCCGAGUGUAGCGGUGAAAUGCGUAGAGAUUCGGAGGAACACCAGUAGCGAAGGCGGCUUUCUGGACCAUAACUGACGCUGAGGCACGAAAGCGUGGGGAGCAAAC
rnacentral:rRNA from 1 species